rnacentral:rRNA from 1 species
AACGUAGGUGGCGAGCGUUAUCCGGAUUUACUGGGCGUAAAGCGUGUGCAGGCGGGUGGCCAAGUGGUGUAUGAAAGCUCCAGGCUCAACCUGGAGAGGUUAUGCCAGACUGGUCAGCUAGAGGCAGAGAGAGGGACAUGGAAUUCCGGGUGUAGUGGUGAAAUGCGUAGAGAUCCGGAGGAACUCCAGAGGCGAAGGCGGUGUCCUGGCUCUGACCUGACGCUCAGACACGAAAGCAUGGGGAGCGAACGGG